GAUGAAGAACGUAGUAAAUGCGAUAAGUAGUGUGAAUUGCAGAAUUCAGUGAAUCAUCGAAUCUUUGAACGCACAUUGCGCCCUUUGGUAUUCCUUAGGGCAUGCCUGUUCGAGCGUCAUUUAAACCUUCAAGCUCAGCUUGGUGUUGGGUGACUGUCCGCUUCACCGCGGACUCGCCUCAAAAUUAUUGGCGGCCGGUACAUUGGCUUCGAGCGCAGCAGAAACGCGAACUCGGGCCCGUCGUAUUGGCUCCCAGAAGCUAUCUUCACAAUUUUGACCUCGGAUCAGGUAGGGAUACCCGCUGAACUUAAGCAUAUCAAUAAGCGGAGGA
rnacentral:misc_RNA from 1 species